CUAAAACUUAGCCCUUCCCCCCCCCCCUUUUUAUUAACCCCC
rnacentral:rRNA from 1 species